AGUGCCUUGUGCAUGCUAGGCGAGCACUCUACCACCGAGCCACAACCCCAGCCCUUAAGGGGACUUCUUUAGAUGGGAAUUUUAGAUUAGAAAUAAAGUACAGGUAUACUUUAAACUUAAAGGUUAAUGAUAGGUUAGGAGACUUAGAGUCUGGUUAUGUAGUUUGGAAUCUGUUAAUAAGAAAAUAGUACAUCUUGGGAAAAAUAGUACAUCUUGGGAAGUCUGAAAAGUGCAAAUUAGUGGUGCAUUUUAUUAAUAAUUUUGUACCCAUAAUAACUGAUAAGGAAAUGUCACAUCCUGGAAAAAUGUAAAUUGAUGUCACAUUUUUCUAUACCCCUAAUGAUUGUUAAGGAAAUGUCACAUCUUGGCAAAAUUUGGAAAUUGUAUAAUCAAUGACAUAUUCUGAAUCCAUAAUGAUGAGAAAAAUUGCAAUAAAAGAUGAC
rnacentral:lncRNA from 1 species